rnacentral:rRNA from 1 species
AGAGUUUGAUCCUGGCUCAGGACGAACGCUGGCGGCGUGCUUAACACAUGCAAGUCGAGCGGUAAGGCCCCUUCGGGGGUACACGAGCGGCGAACGGGUGAGUAACACGUGAGCAACCUACCCUCAACUUCGGGAUAAGCCUCGGAAACGGGGUCUAAUACCGGAUAUCACUCCAUUCUUCAUGGUUUGGGGUUGAAAGUUCUGGCGGUUGGGGAUGGGCUCGCGGCCUAUCAGCUUGUUGGUGGGGUAAUGGCCUACCAAGGCGUCGACGGGUAGCCGGCCUGAGAGGGCGACCGGCCACACUGGGACUGAGACACGGCCCAGACUCCUACGGGAGGCAGCAGUGGGGAAUAUUGCGCAAUGGGCGAAAGCCUGACGCAGCAACGCCGCGUGAGGGAUGACGGCCUUCGGGUUGUAAACCUCUUUCAGCAGGGACGAAGCGAGAGUGACGGUACCUGCAGAAGAAGGACCGGCCAACUACGUGCCAGCAGCCGCGGUAAUACGUAGGGUCCGAGCGUUGUCCGGAAUUAUUGGGCGUAAAGGGCUCGUAGGCGGUUCGUCACGUCGGGAGUGAAAACUCGGAGCUUAACUCCGAGCCUGCUUCCGAUACGGGCAGACUAGAGGUAGGCAGGGGAGAGCGGAACUCCUGGUGUAGCGGUGGAAUGCGCAGAUAUCAGGAAGAACACCGGUGGCGAAGGCGGCUCUCUGGGCCUUACCUGACGCUGAGGAGCGAAAGCGUGGGUAGCGAACAGGAUUAGAUACCCUGGUAGUCCACGCCGUAAACGUUGGGCGCUAGGUGUGGGGGACAUUCCACGUCCUCCGUGCCGCAGCUAACGCAUAAGCGCCCCGCCUGGGGAGUACGGCCGCAAGGCUAAAACUCAAAGGAAUUGACGGGGGCCCGCACAAGCGGCGGAGCAUGCGGAUUAAUUCGAUCCACGCGAAGAACCUUACCUGGGUUUGACAUAUAGGGAAAUCUCACAGAGAUGUGAGGUCCGUAAGGGUCCUAUACAGGUGGUGCAUGGCUGUCGUCAGCUCGUGUCGUGAGAUGUUGGGUUAAGUCCCGCAACGAGCGCAACCCUCGUCCUAUGUUGCCAGCACGUAAUGGUGGGGACUCAUAGGAGACUGCCGGGGUCAACUCGGAGGAAGGUGGGGAUGACGUCAAGUCAUCAUGCCCCUUAUGUCCAGGGCUUCACGCAUGCUACAAUGGCCGGUACAAAGGGCUGCGAAACCGCAAGGUGGAGCGAAUCCCAAAAAGCCGGUCUCAGUUCGGAUUGGGGUCUGCAACUCGACCCCAUGAAGUC